rnacentral:lncRNA from 12 species
UUUAAACCAGACCCAUUUUAGGAGUGAAAACUGGCCCAGAGAGAGUCUUUACAGAGUAACUUCAAUCUGACAUGAACUCAAGUGACUUUGUAAAAAUAAGAUCCCAAAGGGGUGGGUUUCUGGUGGAAAGGCUGCCGGGUACUCAGCACAGGGAUCCUCAGCACCAGUUAAUAUCCACCAAACACGCAUCAUUAAACUGGAACAAACAUGACCCUGAAUUACUGGCUCCCUAUUUUCCUGAAUGUAGGUCAUUUUGUGUCCUUACAAUUUAACGUUUCAAGGGAUUUCCUGUCUUUGAAGUCCAGCCCUCCGUCACCUGUUUGGAUAGCCUCCUUAAAAGUAAGGGCUCCGUGCCUACUUUGGAAGGCUUAGUGACUCCGUGUUCCCCUGGAGUUUCCCAGGUCACUAAGGCAGCCCACCUGCAGGUGCAGGUCUCUCCUUUACAAGUCAGCGCCUGCAGAUCCCCUAUCCCAGACUUCAUUUCUCUAGGUCAGAGCCUACCAGAAAAGCCCGGAGCCAUCCAUUCACCUGGGUGAAGCCAUAAAGAGUGGGCCCCGUGCCAAAUACUGAAGCUGACUCGGUCUCUGCCUGUUGGGCUGCUGAUUAAAAAAGAUAUGCCAUAAAAGAGGUGAAAGAGGGUGAAACCCAUUCCCUGUCACUCUCAAGGAGUAAAACAUCAUUAAAUCUUCACGAAAAGAUCGUUCACUGCAAAACACUGGAAUUUUUGAACUGGAGUCAAGAGAUACGACACUAUUUUAUGUUGAUCCAUUCAAUGGGCCCUAAGAGCCCACGGAAAGAUGCCGGAAGAAUACGUGGAUGAAGUAAUCGUUAAUAAAUCUGUUGAUAUUCCCAAUGUAAGAACAGAAAGAAAUGCUCUGACCUCUCACUCCAGAAAUAGAGGUCCUCCUACACAUGUCACACCACUACCUCGGAUACCAAAAAUGAACUCAGCUGGAUUACCUCCAAGUUUCACAACCGCCGAAGAAAAGUCCCAAAUCCCAGCUCUUCUUAUCAUUUGGCGCUUUAUGGAACAGCCACAGUGGAUUUCUAAAUAGUGACAGGUUCUCAGAUCAUACGAUACUAGGAAAGCGCUGCCAAGGAUAGGAGAAAAGACUCAGAAAGUGAAAAAUCGACAUUUAGGUUUGGCUUGGUGGCAUUAAUCCUACAAACAUUGGAAUACUAAUCAAAUCUUCGGAUGCAAGCCAUGUGCAAUAGAAGAAACAAGGAACCACAUAUUAAGGACGGAUUAUGUGCUCUGUUGCCACUCAGAAAUUCUCUGCCUUGCUGCCCAGGGUCUUGGUAGUCCCAGGAUACACUCCAGGAUUGCUAAAUGCUGGCUAACAAAUUAUAGCUUUAUUCUAAUUUUAGAGCUGCCAGGCCUUGUCCAUGUUAUGAGGUCAUCAAGAAAAACUAUACCAAAGAUGAAACUGACCCAGAAUGGUGCUCCUCACAUGCUCCUGCACUCCUGCCCCCCUACCUGCCCAGCUUCUCAUUGCCUCUCUGGGUGUGGAUGCCUAUUGUGGUCUCAGGCAUCACCAUGUGAAAGAUGACGUUUUCAGUGAUUUCUUCUUCUAACAUUCUAGGAUGUGGAUGAAAUUGGUGGGAAUUAUUGUGAAUGUCAAACUGGUGGGGGUUUUUUGAUUGAAGUAUAGUUGAGAUACAGUAUUAUGCAACACAGUGAUUUGACAUGAAUAUAUAUUGUAAAAUGGUUGCCAUAAUAAGUCUAGUUCUGUGGUUAUUUUAAAACCUAUCUUCAAAGUCAGUUCAUAUGCAAUAAUUCAGCUGUACAAUGUCUUGGGUGGUAUAAUUGCAGUUGUAAUUGCAGUUGUUGUUAUAAUAGAUGAUAAAAUCUUAUAAGGGUUAUAUUCCUCAGUUUUGUAGGAGCUAUUCAUCUCUUUUUUUUUUUGAUGGGUUGAUAAAUCAAGUGAAUAGCAUAUAGCACUGCUUCUCAAAUGAUUGUGAAAGAUCUAAUUUUAUAAAAUUUCCAAGAGAUUGGUAACUUUUGUAAAACCAGCAAAAAUAAAUUGUUAGUAAAAAAGAGAUAAGAAACA